rnacentral:rRNA from 1 species
UAACACGAACCGUGCGAACGUUAUUCGGAAUCAAUGGGCUUAAAGGGUGCGUAGGCGGCUUUGCAAGUGAGGUGUGAAAUCCCUCAGCUCAACUGAGGAACUGCGCUUCAAACUGCAUAGCUAGAGGGAGACAGAGGUAAGCGGAACUGAUGGUGGAGCGGUGAAAUGCGUUGAUAUCAUCAGGAACACCAGUGGCAAAGGCGGCUUACUGGGUCUCUUCUGACGCUGAGGCACGAAAGCUAGGGUAGCGAACGGGAUUAGAUACCCCGGUAGUCCUAGCUGUAAACGAUGAGUACUGGAUCGAGGAACCUUCCACAGUUUCUCGGUCGUAGCGAAAGUGUUAAGUACUCCGCCUGGGGAGUAUGGUCGCAAGGCUG